rnacentral:rRNA from 1 species
GACGAACGCUGGCGGCGUGCUUAACACAUGCAAGUCGAACGAAGUGGCGAACGGGUGAGUAACGCGUAAUCAACCUGCCCUUCAGAGGGGGACAACAGUUGGAAACGACUGCUAAUACCGCAUACUGAAGGCGGGGAUUUCGUCUGAUUAGCUAGUUGGAGGGGGAACGGCCCACCAAGGCGAUGAUCAGUAGGCGGUUUGAGAGGAUGAACGGUAAAGAUGGGACUGGGACACGGCCCAGACUCCGAAGGGAGGCAGAAGGGGGGAAUCGUCCGCAAUGGACGAAAGUCUGACGGAGCAACGCCGGGGGAGUGAGGACGGCCUUCGGGUUGUAAAGCUCUGUUAAUCGGGACGCGGUACCGGAAGAGAAAGCCACGGCUAACUACGUGCCAGCAGCCGCGGUAAUAC